GUCGGACGGGAUUCGGUGCUUCGGKACCGAUGAGAGUGGCGCACGGGUGCGUAACGCGUGAGCWACCUGCCCAUUUCAGGGGGAUAGCCCGGAGAAAUCCGGAUUAAGCCCGCAUAUGAUCACGGUGCCGCAUGGCGGAGUGAUGAAAUAUUUAUAGGAAAUGGAUGGGCUCGCGUGACAUUAGCUGGUUGGUAGGGUAACGGCCUACCAAGGCGACGAUGUCUAGGGGCUCUGAGAGGAGAAUCCCCCACACCGGUACUGAGACACGGACCAGACUYMUACGGGAGGCAGCAGUAAGGAAUAUUGGUCAAUGGAGGGAACUCUGAACCAGCCAUGCCGCGUGCAGGAAGACGGCCCUACGGGUUGUAAACUGCUUUUGCACGGGAAUAACCCUCAUUAUGAAUAAUGAGCUGAAUGUACCGUGAGAAUAAGGAUCGGCUAACUCCGUGCCAGCAGCCGCGGUAAUACGGAGGAUCCGAGCGUUAUCCGGAAUUAUUGGGUUUAAAGGGUGCGCAGGCGGGGAUCUAAGUCAGGGGUGAAAGACGGUGGCUCAACCAUCGCAGUGCCUUUGAUACUGGAUCUCUUGAAUGUACCUGAGGUAGGCGGAAUGUGGCAAGUAGCGGUGAAAUGCAUAGAUAUGCCACAGAACACCGAUUGCGAAGGCAGCUUACCAAAGUAUGAUUGACGCUGAGGCACGAAAGCGUGGGGAUCGAACAGGAUUAGAUACCCUGGUAGUCCACGCCCUAAACGAUGAACACUCGAUGUCGGCGAUAGACAGUCGGCGUCCAAGCGAAAGCGUUAAGUGUUCCACCUGGGGAGUACGCCCGCAAGGGUGAAACUCAAAGGAAUUGACGGGGGCCCGCACAAGCGGAGGAGCAUGUGGUUUAAUUCGAUGAUACGCGAGGAACCUUACCCGGGCUUGAAAGUUACUGAAGAUACCAGAGAUGGUAUCGUCCUUCGGGACAGGAACUAGGUGCUGCAUGGCUGUCGUCAGCUCGUGCCGUGAGGUGUUGGGUUAAGUCCCGCAACGAGCGCGACCCCUGUGGAUAGUUGCCAGCACAUAAUGGUGGGGACUCUAUCCAGACUGCCUGUGCAAACAGAGAGGAAGGCGGGGACGACGUCAAGUCAUCAUGGCCCUUACGUCCGGGGCUACACACGUGCUACAAUGGGCGGUACAGAGGGCAGCCAACCUGCAAAGGUGCGCCAAUCCCUUAAAGCCGUUCACAGUUCGGAUCGGGGUCUGCAACUCGACCCCGUGAAGCUGGAUUCGCUAGUAAUCGCGUAUCAGCAAUGACGCGGUGAAUACGUUCCCGGGCCUUGUACACACCGCCCGUCAAGCCAUGAAAGUUGGGGGUACCUAAAGCAUGUGACCGCAAGGAGCG
rnacentral:rRNA from 1 species